AGUGAACGCUGGCGGUAGGCCUAACACAUGCAAGUCGAACGGCAGCACAGUAAGAGCUUGCUCUUACGGGUGGCGAGUGGCGGACGGGUGAGGAAUACAUCGGAAUCUACUUUUUCGUGGGGGAUAACGUAGGGAAACUUACGCUAAUACCGCAUACGACCUACGGGUGAAAGCAGGGGAUCUUCGGACCUUUCGCGAUUGAAUGAGCCGAUGUCGGAUUAGCUAGUUGGCGGGGUAAAGGCCCACCAAGGCGACGAUCCGUAGCUGGUCUGAGAGGAUGAUCAGCCACACUGGAACUGAGACACGGUCCAGACUCCUACGGGAGGCAGCAGUGGGGAAUCUUGGACAAUGGGCGCAAGCCUGAUCCAGCCAUACCGCGUGAGUGAAGAAGGCCUUCGGGUUGUAAAGCCCUUUUGUUGGGAAAGAACAGCAGCAGGUUAAUACCCCGCUGUUCUGACGGUACCCAAAGAGUAAGCACCGGCUAACUUCGUG
rnacentral:rRNA from 1 species